rnacentral:rRNA from 1 species
AAUGUGUGGCAUACGGCUCAGUAACACGUAGUCAACAUGCCCAGGGGACGUGGAUAACCUCGGGAAACUGAGGAUAAACCGCGAUAGGUCACUACUUCUGGAAUGGGUAAUGACCCAAACCUAUAUGGCCCCUGGAUUGGACUGCGGCCGAUCAGGCUGUUGGUGAGGUAAUGGCCCACCAAACCUGUAACCGGUACGGGCUCUGAGAGGAGGAGCCCGGAGAUGGGCACUGAGACAAGGGCCCAGGCCCUAUGGGGCGCAGCAGGCGCGAAACCUCUGCAAUAGGCGAAAGCUUGACAGGGUUACUCUGAGUGAUUUCCGUUAAGGAGAUCUUUUGGCACCUCUAAAAAUGGUGCAGAAUAAGGGGUGGGCAAGUCUGGUGUCAGCCGCCGCGGUAAUACCAGCACCCCGAGUGGUCGGGACGUUUAUUGGGCCUAAAGCAUCCGUAGCCGGUUCUACAAGUCUUCCGUUAAAUCCACCUGCUCAACAGAUGGGCUGCGGAAGAUACUAUGGAGCUAGGAGGCGGGAGAGGCAAGCGGUACUCGAUGGGUAGGGGUAAAAUCCGUUGAUCCAUUGAAGACCACCAGUGGCGAAGGCGGCUUGCCAGAACGCGCUCGACGGUGAGGGAUGAAAGCUGGGGGAGCAAACCGGAUUAGAUACCCGGGUAGUCCCAGCUGUAAACGAUGC